UACGGAGGGUGCGAGCGUUGUCCGGAAUCAUUGGGCGUAAAGGGCGCGUAGGUGGCGGGACAAGCGUGCGGUGAAAGCCUGGGGCUCAACCCGGGUCGGCCGUGCAACUGUUUUGCUUGAGCACUGUAGAGGCAGGCGGAAUUCCGGGUGUAGCGGUGGAAUGCGUAGAGAUCCGGAAGGAACAUCAGUGGCGAAAGCGACUUCCUGGACCAGUACCGACGUUCAGGCACGAAAGCGUGGGGAGCAAACAGG
rnacentral:rRNA from 1 species